AUUGGAAGUUAUUUUGGUAAGGUUGUACACUGGGUAAUAUUAACUAAUUUAUAUAGAGUACCUCCAUCUUUAUAACUCUUGGGAAGUAGCUGCCAGAAACACCACCGAGACACAUAGAACCUAAAAAUCUCUCGUGGGAUACAUAACAAUUCAUUAACAGUUGUAUUGUAAAAUUUACAUUUUCAAAUGUUUAAUUUCUCGCAGAUUUAUGCCAAGUUUGAAUCAAAACUUGAGAGAUGUAUUUCUUGAAAAAGUUGUAAAGCAGAUAAUUGUUUUCUUUACAGGGAAUCUGUUUUUUAUUCUGUUCUCUAUGUAAAAAUGUGAAAGUUGGAAGCCCUUGUAAAUAACAAUCCUAAUAUCUGUAUGUGAAUAUGUGUACAACAGCUCUGUAUCUGUUUACCAUUCACAGUGUAUAUAUACAAAUGAAUAUUUUGGUGAAUAUAUAAUAUUUUAUGAAAAUAAAAUGUAUAAAAGAUGUAGUACAGUUUUAUGUACAAAUGUUGGGGUUUUUUGUAUGUGUUCAUGAUGUGCCAUUCUGUUACACUAUUACGUUUAAAUAUAUAUAUAAAUAAAGGCUUAUUAAUUAAUCAGGUUUUUAAAUUCAUGCAUGAAUGUAGGCAUUUCAUCUCCAUAUUGGAAAGAACUUUGUAAAUCAUAUUUAUUUUCACAUUUGUUUUUGUUAAAUCGGAAUUGCUGUGAUUUGAAUUAAUGAAGGGAACAUCAUUUGCAGUGUUUUGUAUUUGUAAAGAGAACCACCUUCUAAUUUUUUAAAAUUUUUGUAGGGAACAACAUUGGUUUUAAGGUUACAAGUCAAUUACCACAAAUCACAUCACAAAGAACCAACACAGAAUUAUUCUGUGGUAAUGUUUUUCAUUAGAAAUAAAAAGUUUAGUCUCAAAAUCAAUAAGUUUGUAUAUUUAAUAUACAUUUCACCAGUUUGUACUUAGGACAUUUUUAUUUGUAGUUCUUUAGAAAUUGACAAAUGAAACCUUUGAUUUUUAUUUGCAAUUCUUUAGAAAUUGACAAAUGAAACAUUUGCGAAGAAAACAAAUUUGCAUUGAUACUGUAGCUUUUUCAAGUAAAUAUUUUUUUUAUAAAAAUUGUUGUUAAAUUGUUCUCUUUAUAUGACUUCAUGACAACAUUAUUUAAAACUGAUACUGUGUCAUGCUAUUGUUGUUUUCAUAACAAAAGGACACAUGAACAGUUCAUGCUACACAGUAUUUAAAACUGACAGAAAGACAAAAUACAUAUGUAUCAUUGAGAUUUCAUGUUGAAAUUAUCCUAUCUUAAAUACUUGGUGUCAUUUGACACAGGAUUAUAAUUACAUAAUAAUAAAAUAACAUUUUUUUAAAUUAUUUUUAUUAUUACCUGUUAAUAGCUUUAUACAGAGUGAAGUUGGGAUAUUCUAGAUCAGACAUCGCUAUCACUGUGAGCUCAUCUCUGUCCGUGUAUAUUUUACAUGAUUGCACUCAGAACUCCACGAAUGUGACUCGUCACAUGACCUAAUUAUGUGUGAAGCACAUCAAAGGAGUCCCGAUUGACAUGAUUGUGGACAAGGGAAUUAUUUUAGUCCCCUUUCCCAGACAAUCAAUUUUGUUGCUUUUUUUUCACUCUAAUGUGAUUGUCCCUCUGUUCUCUCAUUUUUAAAUGUAUUUUUCUCGAGAUAUUUUGUUUUCAUUAAAAUACAACCAGCUUGCCAACAAUACUGAUAUCAUUGUCACUGUUCUGCUCCUUGUGACAUUUAAUAACAGCAGUUUGUCAACUGUAGGGAUGUAUACAUCUUUAUAUACAUCUCCAUUGGCAGCCUGUUAUAAUUACCUCUUACAAAUUUUCUGCAAAAUGUGGUGUCACCAUGAGUUCUCACCACUGUAUUUCACCAAAUGCCUAUUUUGCCAGAAAGCUAAAGACAUGAUUUUAAACAAAAUAACUGUUGAAUAUUUGUACUAUUUAGUGAAAAUAUACUAAUUCAUAAAAAAAAAUUUCUACUUUCAAAUUUAAUUUUUCUUUUGCCAUCGUGUUAAAUAAGGUAGAUUAAUACUUUCAAGGAGUUACAGUGGUUUGAAUUCUUGUCGUGCGAUUGCUUUCAUUUGUUUCAAUCAAAAUACAAAAUGUCCAAAACAUCUUUCAUUGAAUGAGAUAUUGUAAAAUUUAAUUAACUUGUUUUUCAUGAGCUAAACUUUUUGCCGAUACCCAGUAACCAAAUUUAAAUAGAGUAAGACAAUCAUACAUUGGACUUCCUAAUACAUGGAUUUUGUUAAAAUUUUAUAUUUAGCUUCAUUUUCGUCAAGUUGAAACACAUAUUUCAAUUUUUUCCUGUGUUGAGACGAUCAUGACAAUCAUUUAAGUUCUUAAGUAAUGUUAGUUUUAAUUUAAUGAAUUUUUGUUAAGUACAUGUGUGAUGGUAGAAAUUUCACUUUUAAGUUGUUAUGAUAACCAAACUGACUGAGACAUGUCUUUUUUUCUUUUGUGGUGUCUGUUUUCAGUUAAAAAUACUCUUAAAAAUCAAAGCCCAUGAAAUAGGUUGAUAUUGUCUAUUAUUAAUUCGGCCAAUUCUUGAAUUUGAGAUUUUCAUUAAACAUCUUAUGAAGAUAUAGUGAUUUGAUAAUUUGAGAUUUUCAUUAAACAUCCGAUGAAGAUAUAGUGAUUUGAUAAUUUGAGAUUUUCAUUAAACAUCUGAUGAAGAUAUAGUGAUUUGAUAAUUUGAGAUUUUCAUUAAACAUCCGAUGAAGAUAUAGUGAUUUGAUAAUUUGAGAUUUUCAUUAAACAUCCGAUGAAGAUAUAGUGAUUUGAUAAUUUGAGAUUUUCAUUAAACAUUUGAUGAAGAUAUAGUGAUUUGAUAAUUUGAGAUUUUCAUUAAACAUCUGAUGAAGAUAUAGUGAUUUGACGAGCAAUCUAGUAUGUAAAAUGUAUACAGUAUCAUUCAUUUGAGAUUUUCAUUAUAUUAAAACAAUAUUAUUGUAGUUUUGUUUUAGUUAUGAUUUUGACAUUGUCCAUUGUAUUGCAUAGUCUUAAAUAUGUAUUUUACAUGUACAUGUAUAAUUUCUUUAUGUAGCUAAGUAUGCAUGGUAUUUUUAUUAGGUAUACCAAGGUAUAUGUAUACACUGUAAUGCUAGUUAUGUCUGUGAAUUAUUUUUGUUAUGUAAUUCAUGGCGUUUUAUUACCUCAAAACUUGUGUUGGCUUUUCUUUUUGUGAAGUUCAAUAAUUACACUUACAUAUUUUUGUCUGCACACUAGCUUUUUGCAUAUUUUAAUGUUCUUUCACACAAAACUGCUUAAAUAUGAUCACUUGACAAAUAUUAGAUCACAAGUUUCCUGUAUCAUAUAUAGAGAGGUUACACAAGGAGUGGUUGUCGGAUAUGGAAUUUAUUUCACACGAGUAAGUUAUUUUUUUAAAGUUACUAAAGACACGAGCUUUAGCAAGUGACUUUUGUAACUUAAAAAAUAACUUACUAGUAUGAAAUAAAUUCCAUAUCCAAAAAUCAUGAGUCGUGUGACCUGUUUCUACCACAAUAAUAUAAACUUGAAUCAAAUGUAAACGUGGCCGAGUCUUUUUUCCGUAUGUAAGUAAGGUAUACAGGUGACAGUCAGGACUCGGUGAUGCGAAGUCAUUCAAUUAUUGAUGACAAUGACAAUAAGCAGGUCGGGUCAAAGUUUGAAUUCUAGACCAAUGAAAAGACCGUAAGGUUAUAACAUCUAUUUAUCCAACAGUCGGCACAUUUAUACAAUGGCUUGAGAGUGAAAUAACACAGUGUUUUGUGGUAGAAAUACAUCUAAAUAAUGCUGCAUGUAAUUACAAGAUGAAUAUUUCAUAGGAGGUGCAAAAUAUUUUUUCAUUUGCAGAAAUCUUUUUGAUUGCAGUUUAUUGUGAAGCAUACUUUUAGGCUUUAUUUAAAAAUUACGCUUUAUUGACUUUGUCUCAUUCUUAGUAUCCUUCGUUGAUUUGUUUUGAUUUAUCACUAAGUUCCACAUUUAAAAUAAUUAAGUUGUCUCCCUUUUUUGUCAGCAUGUUAAACAAGGAUGGAUUUAUCAUGGCAGAAAUCGUUAGAACACAGCUUGAUAGUCUGAUGUGUAGGGCAAAAUAUAAUAUUAUGAAAUAUGGAUUUUACUGACGAAAGGCAAAUAUUUGCUCAACAUUAUAAUUGUUGAUUGGACCAAUACAGGUAAAAUUUGAAAUUAUAAAAAAUGAUUCUAGCUCUUUAUUUUUAAUUCAACACUAUUCUAUAGGAGAAAUCUUUUUAAAAAUCAUAAGUGAGAAAAAUUUUUUUUCUGAAAUGAGUUGUCAUCAAUGAAUAGUAGAUGUUCCUGACAGUAGAUACGGAUACGAUAUAUUUUUCUCAAUCUAUCCAUUUUAUCCCUCUAGGUCCGGUCUAUAGACAUGAACUUAAGGCAUGUUUCUUGCCAUCAGCUAAAGCAGUCGGAAAAGAAAAAUGAAGUUAUUUAACUGAAUUCCCAUUAAGUGAUUUUGAUGAAUGUGAUAUACACAAACUUAUGUGAAUUGCAAGAAUGAAUUUGAAGGAUAACAUUACCAUUAUUUUGUCUCUUUAUAUUCUUUAUGUCUUUAUGUUCGUUUUGUAUGUUACUUUUCACUUCACAACCACAGAACCAAAAACUACUCCCGUGGUUAUGAAGUAAUAAUGCUCAUCCAUUGUUUUAUGGUUAAAUGAAUUGUCUGUGGUUAUGAUAUAUAAUGUUAAAUAGUGUUAUCUUGUUUCCUGUCCCUGAAAAUUUGUAUGUUGGGACAAGAGGUGCUAGGAAAAUAUCAGCUAUGUAAUAAAGUAUGGAAUAUAUUUCUGGAAAUUU